rnacentral:lncRNA from 1 species
CAAGGCGCCAGGUAUUUCCAGCACGGAGCAGCUGCCCAAGUUACCUGGGAGAUGGGAAAAUCGUGUGAAAGCUGGUUAACCCUUUGAGGAUUAGAGUAAUGGUGGAAGCAGAAAGGAGAAGGAGUUUCACUCCAGGAUGUACGUAGGACCAGCCCUCCCUGCAGUCCUGUCCUUCAAGACUCAAGUCUUGUCCACUCCAAAUCACCACUGGGAUUCCUAAGUCCAGGACAGAGCUUCAGGCAAGGAAAAGAAGAGUUGGGAAAGCCAGUUUCCAACAUUUAUCAGCCACGUGUACCUGCAAACUAUAUACCUUGGGUAA